rnacentral:rRNA from 1 species
AGAGUUUGANNCNGGCUCAGGAUGAACGCUAGCGGCAGGCUUAAUACAUGCAAGUCGUGGGGCAGCAUGAGUGUAGCAAUACAUUUGAUGGCGACCGGCAAACGGGUGCGGAACACGUACACAACCUUCCUAUAAGUGGGGAAUAGCCCAGAGAAAUUUGGAUUAAUACCCCGUAACAUAAUGAUGUGGCAUCAUAUUAUUAUUAUAGCUUCGGCGCUUAUUGAUGGGUGUGCGGCUGAUUAGAUAGUUGGCGGGGUAACGGCCCACCAAGUCUACGAUCAGUAGCUGAUGUGAGAGCAUGAUCAGCCACACGGGCACUGAGACACGGGCCCGACUCCUACGGGAGGCAGCAGUAAGGAAUAUUGGUCAAUGGACGCAAGUCUGAACCAGCCAUGCCGCGUGAAGGAUUAAGGUCCUCUGGAUUGUAAACUUCUUUUAUCUGGGACGAAAAAAGGCGAUUCUUCGUCACUUGACGGUACCAGAUGAAUAAGCACCGGCUAACUCCGUGCCAGCAGCCGCGGUAAUACGGAGGGUGCAAGCGUUAUCCGGAUUCACUGGGUUUAAAGGGUGCG